ensembl:lncRNA
UUCUGCUGCUUCUACUGAUGAUUCAAGUUACACUUAGUGUUGUGAAUAGAAAUGCAGUGCCAUUAACACCCCAUAGUGCUAACCUUUAUUUUAAUGAAAUAUUAAUUCCUACAGAAAUAGGCAGCAAUCUGUUGAAGAGUUGUGUAUGUGAGACUGUAAGUUAAAAGGACAAGAAAAGUGUGCAGAAUGUGGAAGCCUUCAACUGUUCCUUCUAUUCUGGGUAUUUAAGUGGAUUUAAACAUGAACUGAAUCUAAUGGGAUCUUUUGGCAGACAAUUUAAUCAUUUUCUCCCACAGUAAUUGUGUUUAAAUAUUAAGUUUUCUUUGAGAUUAGGCUAUGCAGUACAAAGGCCAAGACUCCCUGUUAUUCCCUUAUGGAGACCAGCAGAAUCCCGAGUAUUUUUCAGUCUGAACAUUUUCGUACAUUUCACAAGCAGUAGGAAAAAAUUAACAAAGAACAUAUGUCAUCUACUUUCCAAACUAUCAACUAUGCCACGAAGAUGUCACCAAUGCACUCCAGAUUUCACUACUACUGAAAACCAGUUUAUCUUCUUUAUGACUUCUCCAGUGCUGUACGAAAGUAACUAAUUAAAUAUCUUGCUAAAAUAAUUUAGACAAAUGUGGUUGUCAGCUUUUUUUUUUUUUCCCUCUGUAUUAAACCAGUUCAAAUUAAACUCAAUUAAGUCAUUAGCAAUGUCUUUAUGGUGUUUAUUUAACAGCUCAGGAAUAAUAGCAGUAAACUAUUCUGAAUGAUAGGGGAAAAAAAGCCCAAACCCUAGUUUCUUCUAAAUUAUAAAUGUACAGGUGUGAACAGUUAGUGAGGCAGUUGACUCAAUAUGAAUGAACUCAGAACUUCAGUGGUACCAUGCUUUGGCCAACUAUUUGUAAGCCAUACAAAAUGACAUUUUUUUUUAUCAUGAACAUGCAUAAGAAAUGUAAUGAAGGCAGAGCUAUAUGUUUCAGGUUUGUUUCACAGACUUGAUAAGAAUGUAUAGUGUGCAGCCUGAUUAGACUAUUGCCCUUCUAUCAUCUGAGCAGCAAAAGGAACAUAUGAUGACCAGCAUUGUCAUUCCAGUAAGGCCAUGUAGGUUAGGGAAAAAGCCUACAGAAGAUUCAGAAGAGAAGUAAUUGAUCAAUUAACAGAUGUCACAGCACAGACAGUAUCAGAUUCUCACUGUAAGGAAUCUACUAUAAUUCAUAUUAGGACAAGCAUAAAUAAGUGUGGUAUAGAACUUUCCUAAAAGUAAGCCUGUUGCUUAAAGUAUCCUGGGUUCCAACAUGCUACUCGUCUUCUCUCUCUGCUCCUCCUUGCUUUAUAAGAAGAAACAUCAUAAGCAAUUUCAAAUCACUUCAGUAGAGAAUUUUUUGUUCACCUACACACAUUGAAAGCUGUUAUCUUAGGUCUCUGAAGUAAACUAGACAAGGGUCUCUCUUUCUAUUUUUAUGCCUUUUUCUUCCUUAAACUUGACUUGUGUUUCUAUUUGCUACACAGAUCUGGUGAUGAAUGAUAUUUGCUUCCCAGAAGAGACUUCAACAACCAUAAAGAACAAACUCAAACAAAGGACUGAUGGUGAAGAACUGUGCAGCUGUAACCUGGGUGAACACGUCUGCAAAAUGGAGGCAGGGAAAAAAAAAAAAAAAGAGAGAGAGAGAGAGAGAGAGAGUCUAUGGAGUAAACUGUGCUAGAAGGUUGGAAGAAACAAAAGCUGCCUUGACGUGUAAUAGACUUUCCAUCAAGUAGAGAAAUAAAAGUUUGGCAGAGCAACAUGGAAGUGAAUGUAAACAGGAGCUAAUGAAAUGUGAUUUAGAUUUUAUCAUCUGAUAGUAAUAUCAAGGUUGAAAGAUAACCCAAGUAUUGUGGAACUAGAAAAGAUGAUGAAAAUGGAAAAGCUGAAAAAGCUUUAAUAUAAAAAGAUAAUGCUAGUUUGCUUUAGAGAUCGUAUAAGCAAGAAAAGAAAUCGAAAAAUGGGAAGUAAUGAAUGGACAGGAAAAGUAUAUUGGAAUCUCCUGUUGUGUGUGAUUAAUCAGAAUCAGGGCUACAUUUUGUUUAAUUAAAACAAUUGGGUAACAUAAACCCAGUGAAGGGAUUCUUUGUCAUCAAACCAUGGUAUUUAUUUGAAAUGAAAAAUUAUUGAGUUCAAGAGCUUGACAAAGCAAUAUACUCAUCUACUGAAUCACACAGCUCAUUUCUAUACAGCUGUAGACAAAGCCUAGAAAUAGAGCUCGCUUCUCUUCAGAACCCGUGCUGGUCUUUGGCUCAUGACAAUUUGUGAUUGGCUCAUGACGAUUUGUGUUGAGUCCCACUGCUCUCCAACUUCCACAUGUACUGACAAAUUUUACUUUCUGUUAUUCUGUCUUCAAGGUUAUCCAAAUGUUAUGGUGUUAAAUAAAGCUUCUUGUCUGCAUUGAUUGCAUCUUAUAAUUUUUUCUCCUCAUCUGAUUUUACAAGCAUUUUCCUACUUGUACCAAGUUCAUUAAGGAAAUGCUAAAUGCAAUCAGUCCCAAGAUGUUCCUUGGGACUUUACAAUUAUUUUGUACAAUGCUAAGUAUUUUUUUCAUUCUAUAUGGCUCUUGACUUCUCAUCUUAAACCAUUUUCUUUCUUUUAAGUUUAUAAUACUUAUGUCGAUUCCCUUUUUUUUUUUUUUUGGUCAAAUACAUUUUUUCCAUCUGGCACCAUAAUUUCCAAUGCAUUAAAGCUGACAUUCAGCUUUGUAUACAGUUUCCUGGUUGUAAUCCCUGAUUUGUGUGGAUGAACUGAUCAAGAUAUUCUUCACUGCAUGGUAUGACAGCUGUACAUGGCCAUCUAUAAUGUGUCUCUCUUUCACGUCACCAUGGCCACUGCUGAAAUACACCAUCCACUGCCUCGCUGUGCUCACACCCAUUGUUUGGUCUCCAUAAACAUUCAGCAAAUGUUGAUGAAUGUCAAUGAAUGCAAAUUUUUCCACGUGGAAGGAUUCAAAUUUCAACCCUUUGCUUCAUACUCACUUUCACAUCAGACAUCAUUUUGUCAGAAUGCCCCUCUGCUGCCAUCUGUCACACAGCAACAAAAGGUAAUGAAAUAUUGGUGAGAAUGUUCAGCCUCUACUGCCAUACCACCAACACCUGCCUCUGAUGUUGUGGGCCAGCAUAAUAGAAUUGGAGACAUUAUUUUUGGAGCACACCUCAUAUUUUUUGAGAUAAUUAUUUACCAUUCAGGUCUGAAAUCUUUUAUUCCAAGAUAUACAUGCUCCAGAUGACACUUACACUUUUUAUUAAAAAGUAAAAAUUCCAAUCCCAAUGUUCUAGUCCAUUGUGCAUUUUCUCUGAUAUAUGAGAAUUCAGUAUUUUGAAAUUAUAUUGUAACUUCUGUCUGUCUCACAUUACUUCCUUUUUGUUCAAAUAGAUUGUUUCCCUAGUAACAAAUUUUUGUGGCAUUGAUGGUACUAUGCCAAACCAAAUAAAAAUAGUGCCCACUCUUAUUAAUUCAUUGAUAUUUUAUAAAGAAACGAUGUUAUCUAAGUUAUCUAAGACUUAGCAUAAUUAGAUUAGCAUGAUAAUAAUAGUAGUAAUAAUAGUAAUAAAGCUUUAGAAAACUACUUAUCUACUUAUCUCUCAAGAGUACAGAAAUUACCUGAAUUAAAGUGAGCAAUUCUGAAAGGGAUCUGAAAACUGCUUGCUUCAGAUUUCAGUAGACUUUUGUUAUGAUACCUACACAAAAUCUAUUAUAUGUUACUAAUGCUAUUGGGCUUGGAAUGAGCACCACCUUGGUGUAACUGUGGUUCUUGAACUGUCCAUUUGGUGCUCCCUUGGACUGAGAAAGCUCCCACCCUUAUUCCACCCCAGAACUCCUGACAAUACAAACACAAUAAAUUUUAUUGUAAAGCCAGAACAACAAUUUUGAUUUAUUCCCCCACUGGUGCACUAGUGAGAAAUUUCAGGGCUGCCUGAUGGGAACCUAUGUGAUGACUGACUCAUAGGAUUUACCAUAUUUAUUACCCCUUGUCUUGUCAUUUGACCCUCCUUUUCACCACCAUUGCUUCUCCUCUUAGAAUGUUUUUAUCUGUUUCCUUCCUUCCUCCCUUCCUCCCUUCCUCCCUUCCUCCCUUCCUCUACAUGAAAAACUAUUGCUGGCUGCUCUUAGUUGGAUAUGAGAUCCAGAUUAAUUGCAUGUUACCUAAGAAUGAAUGAAGCAUGAUUAGAUAGCAUAUAAGAUAAAUCAGUGUUUCUUCUAUUUUUCUAUGAAUGGAUUCCUCCUCCUGAAUGUCACAGUAUGCUUUUAUCAGUAAUACUGCAUUUUUACUACUUCAUCUUACAGACUGUAGUUAUCUACCUUUUUACAUUCAUGAACUUGAGUGCUAGAAUAUUCAUAUGUAGUGUUGAUAACAGUGCCUGUGACUUAAAAAAUACAGUUUUCAAAACAUAUCAGCAUUUGGGAAAGUCAGUGUAGUGUUCUGAGACUUUUGAUAAGUCUCAAUUUCUAUUUGAAACAGCAUUUGAAACUGUAAACAUCAUUCAGGAAAAAAAUUUUUUGGUAUGCCUUCGUACAAUUUAGUGCACUCUGUAUUACAUGACUGUAUUUUAUUUAGUGUCCUUUUAUCCAAAAGAUGUUGUAGUGUUAGAUCGUCAAGGAAAUAAAUGAAUACAUGAAAUUCUGUUUGUUAUUUUAUAUUUUUAAUCAUGGU